CCUACGGGAGGCAGCAGUGAGGAAUAUUGGUCAAUGGGAGGAAUCCUGAACCAGCCAUGCCGCGUGCAGGACGACGGCUCUACGAGUUGUAAACUGCUUUUGUACCGGGGUAAAAUGCCUUACGUGUAGGGUUUUGAAAGUACGGUACGAAUAAGGAUCGGCUAACUCCGUGCCAGCAGCCGCGGUAAUACGGAGGAUCCGAGCGUUAUCCGGAUACAUUGGGUUUAAAGGGUGCGUAGGUUGUUUUAUAAGUUAGCGGUGAAAUACCGAUGCUCAACAUCGGGGCUGCCGCUAAUACUGUAGGACUAGAGUUCGAAUGCAGCAGGCGGAAUGUGAAGUGUAGCGGUGAAAUGCAUAGAUAUAACACAGAACACCGAUUGCGAAGGCAGCUUGCUAGGCCGGAUCUGACACUGAUGCACGAAAGCGUGGGGAGCGAACAGGAUUAGAUACCCCAGUAGUC
rnacentral:rRNA from 1 species